rnacentral:rRNA from 1 species
GAUGAACGCUGGCGGCGUGCUUAACACAUGCAAGUCGAACGGUGAAGCAGAGCUUGCUCUGUGGAUCAGUGGCGAACGGGUGAGUAACACGUGAGCAACCUGCCCCUGACUCUGGGAUAAGCGCUGGAAACGGCGCCUAAUACUGGAUAUGAGCUGCGACCGCAUGGUCAGCAGUUGGAAAGAUUUUUCGGUCUGGGAUGGGCUCACGGCCUAUCAGCUUGUUGGUGAGGUAAUGGCUCACCAAGGCGUCGACGGGUAGCCGGCCUGAGAGGGUGACCGGCCACACUGGGACUGAGACACGGCCCAGACUCCUACGGGAGGCAGCAGUGGGGAAUAUUGCACAAUGGGCGAAAGCCUGAUGCAGCAACGCCGCGUGAGGGAUGACGGCCUUCGGGUUGUAAACCUCUUUUAGCAGGGAAGAAGCGAAAGCGACGGUACCUGCAGAAAAAGCGCCGGCUAACUACGUG